rnacentral:tRNA from 2 species
GCGAGAAUGGCGGAAUUGGCAGACGCGUACGGUUCAGGUCCGUAUGCUAGCAAUAGCAUGCAGGUUCAAGUCCUGUUUCUCGCACCA